rnacentral:lncRNA from 1 species
AAACUAUAUGGAUGGCUGUGUCUGGAAAAGGAUGGGAAAUAUUGAUGUAUUUUUCUUGCUUCGGAUUUUACAUGCUUUUGAAAUUUCGUCAAAUGUGGGAAAGAAGUAGACAAAAAAAGGUAAAAUUCACUUUUCAAAAAUCGAUUGUAAUGCUGGUCGUGUAUUCUAAUUUAUGAAGAAAUGUAAGUUAAAUUAUUUUAUAAAUACUGAAAAAAAUCUUAAAUCUUAAACAUCAGGAAAGGUGAGAGGAAUUUAGUAUUUUUUUAGGUGAAAGCGCAGUUAUAUUUUAACAGUACACCAAAGUAUUAAGUACAUUAUCUUUCUGUUGAAAAUCGUGUUUUUUUUACAAGGUCGCAUACAACUAUUUGAGAAAAAAGUUUACUCCUUGGUUACUAUAUAAUAAUAAUGUAAAAAACCAUCAAAUAUUUACAGUGUUUGGUAUAGCCUUAAUAUUCAGAUUCAUCUUUCGUCAGUCAAUAAUAAACAUUACCUAGUGCUGGCGUGUUUAGGGGCAUACACCUUCGAGAUCUUGAUUGUCAAUUAAAUUUUAAACCUUUUAAAUGUGUACUAAUAUUCAAUUUUAUUGUUGCGAGACAACAACAAAUAUAUGGACAAAUAUGUAAAAAGGUAGAGAAUUCAAAUUAGAAUACAGUUUUAAAAGCAUCUGUUAAGAACAUGACGGUAUGACAGUAUCCAAAAUAACAACAUAAACUCGUUUUGACACACAGUCGUCGAAUAUUGGACAAUAUCUAAACACUACAACAUUUUUACAAUCUUAAAGUAAUGUUUUUUUAAUGUAUGACAAUUUUAGUCUGUAUGGCUAUUAAAAUGCUUAUCUCUGAUAAAAUGUGCACUCGAUUUAUAAUUGAACAGUUAUAAGUAACAUAUAAUUGAUCUAUCUGUUGCAGAUGCAGGAACAAUUCGGGAGUACAUCACCUUUGAUACCCAGGACCAGAUGCAAUCAACAACCGCCCGAUUAUAAGCUGAGUUUCAUUUUCUUGUGGAUAGUGGAAAUAGUGCUAAGGAUUUCCGGCACAGUUCGGUUUAUAAUGACCGCUCUCAGAAGACAUGCAUGUAUAAGUCCACCAUUUUAUGAACAUGUCGAUGUCAUUUUGAUGCACUUUCAAAGUUUCGGCGAUUGUGCCCAAGCGUUUUGUUCUUUCUUAAUAUUUUGUGUCUUCAGGAGAUUGUUUCGAUAUAUCAAUAACAGAAAUGGUAACACCAACCUUUCACAUGAAGCUAGUUAAGUUUUCCAAAUUAUAAACAAAAAGAUAUUGUAACAC